GAUGAAGAACGUAGCGAAAUGCGAUAAGUAAUGUGAAUUGCAGAAUUCAGUGAAUCAUCGAAUCUUUGAACGCACCUUGCGCCCUUUGGCCAUUCCGAAGGGCAUGCCUGUUUGAGUAUCAUGAACACCUCAACUCUUCAUGGUUUUCCAUGAUGAGCUUGGACUUUGGGGGUCUUGCUGGCCUACGGUCGGCUCCUCUAAAAUAAAUCAGCUCGCCAGUGUUUGGUGGGUAUCGCAGGUGUGAUAACUAUCUACGCUUGUGGUUUUCCACCAAGUAACCUUCAGCAGUGGAGGUUCACUGGAGCUCACAGAUGUGUCUCUCCUCAGUGAGGGAUAGCUCUUUGAAUGUUUGAUCUCAAAUCAGGUAGGACUACCCGCUGAACUUAAGCAUAUCAAUAAGCGGAGGA
rnacentral:misc_RNA from 1 species